rnacentral:rRNA from 1 species
GACGAACGCUGGCGGCGUGCUUAAUACAUGCAAGUCGAACGGACAGGCCCUGCUUUUGCUGGGUGCUCGUGUGCCGCACGGGUGUGUAUCACGUGUGUAUCCUGUCCUUGUCUUUCUGAUAUCUUCUCGAAAAUCCGGCUCUUACCCCAUAUAAUCUCUUGCUGCAUGGUGUUGGUUGGUAAGUUUCGGCGGUUGGGGAUCGUCUCGCGGCUUAUCCGCUUGUUGGUGAGGUAGUGGCUUACCAGGGCUUUGACGGGUAGCCGGCCUGAGAGGGUGGCCAGCGACAAUAGGACUGAGGUACGGCGCAGAAUGCAACGGGAGGCAGCAGUGGAAAAUAUUGCAGAAUGGGCGGAAGCGAGAGGCAACGACGCCGCGAGCGGAAAGACGGGCUUCGGGUUAUAAACCGAUGUGGAAGGAGACGAAGAGAGAGUGACGGUAAUGGGUAAGAAAGCAACGGCUAACUACGUG